AUGGGGGAAAAGCCCUCCCAGGGGUUUUGGAAGACGCUGGGCUACAGGGGAACAGCCCUCCCAGGGCUGCGGGCGGCCGUGCAGCUGGUCGAGUCCGGAGGGGGUGAACAGAAACCCGGGGGGUCCCUCACCCUCCGCUGCCAGGCCUCCGGCUUUACCUUCAGCAGCUACGCCAUGUUCUGGGUGCGACAGGCGCCUGGGAAGGGGCUGGAGUGGGUCGCAGCUAUUACCAGUGGUGGAAGUAGCAGAGACUAUGUGCCGGGGUUUGACUUCUUCACGGAUGUUCACAAGGAUGGUAGUGGCACAAUCUACGCGCCGGCGGUGGAAGGGCGCUUCACCGUCUCCAGGGACAACUCCCGGAGCACGCUCACGCUGCAGAUGAGCAACCUCAGGGACGACGACACGGCCACCUACUACUGCGCGAAAACUGCUGGUG